CAAAAUGCUGCAGCACGUGUCCUGACGAGAACAAAGAGAAGAGAGCACAUUUCUCCAAUAUUAGCAUCGCUACACUGGCUUCCAGUUAAAUCUAGAAUAGAAUUUAAAAUUCUCCUCCUCACCUUCAAGGCCCUUAAUAAUGUAGCGGGUCAGUUCUUAAUAAAGUUUUAUACUUUAAGCAGUGUCAUUUUCCCCGCUCUGGAUGUGUUAAUUAACCUGACAGGACGGCAACUCCUAUAGGCUGCGGGGAGGCGGAGGAGUUUAUUUAGGGACACCUUAGCACUCUCCCUCGUCCUCUCUCUCUCUCUCCCCACUGCCGGUCCUGUGGGUGUGUGCGGACGUUUAGCGUGAGCGCAGCACGUGUGGUCGCAAUUGUUUGUCACGAUCCGCACCAUGGAUUGCGGUCUGUGGAUCGCGCACCGGGGGUCGCGGUGUUGGAUCCAGUGUGGCGGAUUCUGAGUCAUGUGGGCUGAUCGUUGUGUCACGUUGGCAUUGGGCACAGGCGGUGAUGGGUCCUGGUGGGCGGCGGUGGACGGUGACUGAGGACUGGAGUGGCAUCUGGUCUGGAUGGUGGAUCGUGGUCUAGAUGGUUGCUGAGCAUGGACUGUGCUUGCAGCGGGACUGCUUGGUGUAUACCAUCUUUCUGAUGACUCUGCUGGCCAAGGACAGCUCACUACCUCAUCUGAAGCUCAUUCCCUGAUCACCAGCAGAUAUCUACCCUGGUCGGGCUCCUAGUCAUCGCCAGUUUGUGCUUGAUACCACAGUGAUCCAUUCCCUGGUUCUCCUGGCUUCCUUACUUGAGGACUGGAUUCUGUGAGCGAACCGUUCGCUCUCCACCACCUUAUUUCAUCCUCAUGCCAUAUUCUGUUCAAACAAUAAAUUACUGUUUACUUUCCAGUAAACAGUACUAUGUGUCUCUGUCUCUGCGCUGGGGUCCAAAGAUACUCUGAAUGUAACAGGAAACAACACAAAAAAAAUCAUUAAGCAUGUCAAAGGAAGAGGUUGAAGAUCUUCUGAGAACCAUCUACACUGAUAGUGGAAAGAUGUACUGAUACUUGUCCCUGCUGACAUUCAACCAAUCUCCCCCCCCUCCAACAUCAAUUUGACAUCAGACCUCCCAAGCUGAGUGUGGUAAAAAAGGUAGUGAGGAAGGCAAGAUCGGCAUUCGGGCCAGACCCUUGUGGUAGCCUAUUGUAUUUGAGAUUCCGUUGGAGAAACAUGUGUGGGAGAGCAAGUUAUCCCCAAAACCUGGCUAAGAGCUGGAGGAAUGCUGUUCCCAUAAUAAUGAAUCCAUCAUCAUUAAUGACAAGUCAUCAUUAGCCAUGUAAAGGUCAUAGACUCAACAAUGAAGGGAGAACAAGAGAAGGGUGGAGCAGUCAGGAAAAAGAGACAGAUCCAGUAGAUGGCGGUAAUGCACCUUAAAUAUGUGUUGCCAUUGCCACCCACCAAUAAACCAACCAGAAGAAGAAGCCUCAACAAUACACCAUGUGUCAUAGCCCGGCUCAUGACUGUGGCAUGGAGGGAGACGACACGGGUGAACUGUGGCUCUUUUAGAACAUUUAUUUAACAGAACAAACUACAAACAAAGUCUCCAAAGACAAAACAGAAAAGGAUGGUAGCGUCCGGGAGAGCCAACCUCGCCCCAUAGGCAGUGCGAAAGAGAGAGCGCGAGACAAAUCUGCCAGCCCUUUUAAAGGGCAGAGCACACGUGGCCGAGGUAUGCUCUGAUUCACCCUGACGCCCACUCCACCUGUGAAUGGAAGAAGAGGGACACCUAGUGUCCAGGUGAGGGUGGAAGGGGUCGUCACACAUGCCACAGCAGACACAUAAAAACAGGGAAAAUAUCAUCUAACAUUGAGUGCAAACCAUAGUGCAAAUCAUCAUCCAUGAUCUUUCACAAUGGAUUUUGUGAAUGUGUCAGGGAUUUUAAAGAUUACAACUUAAAUAAUUUAAAAAAAGUGUUUUUCUGUAGAUCUGCCAAAUCACAGGGAAUACAGGUGAGCAGCAUGGCCAAAGACAUGGAAACAAAAAAGUGUGGAGAACACUAAUGGCUCCCCAUUAAGUUUAAUAUCAGCACAAACUACAACCUUGUAGGAGUCGAGGGAAUAACACAGUCCGGAGAUCUUCUCGUUUUGUGCGCCUCUCGGCGUGUGUUUAUUUUGACAAACAAUUCACCCACAGAGAACUCCGGGCGCCACCAAAACAUCAGCUUUUAACAACCCCCAGUGCACUUGUUACCUUGGUAACCCCACAGCUCCUUGCCGGGUGUGUAAGUAUGCGAACCACAUUAGUGUAAACCGUCUUUGGUGAAUUCUGUAUUCUCACCUGUCCCCUACAACUUUGUGUUUAUGUGUAAACUGAAUUAAAAACAUCUUUGUCUCCCUGUUGCUCCCACAGCUAUGUUGUUAUCAAAAGGGGUUGGGGAAAGCAAGUGCGUUCUCCAGAUGAACUAUUCGAUUUGGAGCAGAGAUUUCUUUAUUCCCUGACCCCUUGGCUAUUAGCUAUUGCUUUGGUGAGUACAAUAUUAGGAUCCCCAAAAAACUGAAAUACUAAGGUCAAGACUACGUUUCAUAUGUAGUGAUAGCAGUCAUUGGACUGUUGCUGUGCUACUUACAGUGUUCUUGUUUGUAGAUGAUGCAAAAGUAGCUGAAUUUGUGUAGAGUGUAUAAAUCUAUGUCUUAGAAUAUAUAUUUAUUUGUUUAGGAGGAUGGAAGCAAUUAAAGUGUAAGUUAAAUUUUCAAACCUCUCCAGACCUUUUACAUAAAUGUGUCACUUAUAUCUCUAUGUGUCUGUGGUGGGAAAUUCCACUGACCAGUGUCUAAGGUGAUGGAAAAUUCCACUAACUAGGUGUCUCAGUGCUGUGACCUUGACGAAAUGGGUGAUGUUUUCCUCCAGCUGCUACAGCGGACGUACACAGCAGAUAGACACAGAUGAUGAUUUCAUGUCUUUUUUUCAUAUUAUGUUUUAUGAAACGCCUCUUUGUGUAAGUUCUGGCUUUUGUGAACUUGGGGCCAGUUCCACUUUGAGCACCUGUGCUUGUUGUGUAACAUCU